GAGUUUGAUCCUGGCUCAGAUUGAACGCUGGCGGUAUGCUUAACACAUGCAAGUCGAACGGUAGCAGGCCUUCGGGCGCUGACGAGUGGCGGACGGGUGAGUAACGCGUAGGAAUCUGCCUGGUAGUGGGGGACAACGUGGGGAAACUCACGCUAAUACCGCAUACGCCCUACGGGGGAAAGCGGGGGCUCUUCGGACCUCGCGCUAUCAGAUGAGCCUGCGUUAGAUUAGCUAGUUGGUAGGGUAAAGGCCUACCAAGGCGACGAUCUAUAGCUGGUCUGAGAGGACGAUCAGCCACACUGGGACUGAGACACGGCCCAGACUCCUACGGGAGGCAGCAGUGGGGAAUAUUGGACAAUGGGCGCAAGCCUGAUCCAGCAAUACCGCGUGUGUGAAGAAGGCCUUAGGGUUGUAAAGCACUUUCAAUUGGGAGGAAAACCUGCCGGUCAAUACCCGGUAGCUUGACAUUACCUUUAGAAGAAGCACCGGCUAACUCCGUGCCAGCAGCCGCGGUAAUACGGAGGGUGCGAGCGUUAAUCGGAAUUACUGGGCGUAAAGCGUGCGUAGGCGGUUCGUUAAGUCAGAUGUGAAAGCCCUGGGCUCAACCUGGGAACGGCAUUUGAAACUGGCGGACUAGAGUUUAGUAGAGGGGAGUGGAAUUUCAGGUGUAGCGGUGAAAUGCGUAGAUAUCUGAAGGA
rnacentral:rRNA from 1 species